rnacentral:rRNA from 1 species
AGAGUUUGAUUCUGGCUCAGGAUGAACGCUGGCGGCGUGCCUAAUACAUGCAAGUCGAACGAGGCGCUUUUUGUAGCAAUACGAGGAGUGUCCUAGUGGCGAACGGGUGAGUAACGCGUGGGUGACCUGCCCCAAAGUGUGGAAUAACAGUCCGAAAGGAUUGCUAAUACCGCAUGUGGUCUGCGAGUUUAGAAAUCGUUGACUAAAGGAGCAAUCCGCUUUGGGAGGGACCUGCGUCCCAUCAGCUAGUUGGUGAGGUAACGGCUCACCAAGGCGACGACGGGUAGGGGACCUGAGAGGGUGGCCCCCCACAAUGGAACUGAAACACGGUCCAUACACCUACGGGUGGCAGCAGUAGGGAAUAUUGCUCAAUGGGCGAAAGCCUGAAGCAGCAACGCCGCGUGCGCGAUGAAGGUCUUCGGAUCGUAAAGCGCUUUUCUGAGAGAUGAGAAAGGACAGUAUCUCAGGAAUAAGUCUCGGCUAACUACGUGCCAGCAGCCGCGGUAAAACGUAGGAGGCGAGCGUUAUCCGGAUUCACUGGGCGUAAAGCGCGUGCAGGUGGUUCGGUAAGUUGGGCGUUAAAUCUCCCGGCUCAACUGGGAGAGGUCGUUCAAUACUACCGGACUUGAGAGCAGAAGAGGAAGAUGGAAUUCCCGGUGUAGUGGUGAAAUGCGUAGAUAUCGGGAGGAACACCAGUGGCGAAGGCGAUCUUCUGGUCUGUUUCUGACACUCAGACGCGACAGCUAGGGUAGUAAACGGGAUUAGAGACCCCGGUAAUCCUAGCCGUAAACGAUGUGAACUUGGCGUUGGUGGGUUAAACUCCAUCAGUGCCGCAGCAAACGCGAUAAGUUCACCGCCUGGGGACUACGGCCGCAAGGUUAAAACUCAAAUGAAUUGACGG